rnacentral:rRNA from 1 species
AUCGAACGCUGGCGGCAGGCUUAACACAUGCAAGUCGAACGAGUGGCGGACGGGCGAGUAAUGCUUUGGAAUCUAGCUUAUGGAGGGGGAUAACUACGGGAAACUGUAGCUAAUACCGCGUACCAUAGGAUGAGCCCAAGCGGGAUUAGCUUGUAGGUGAGGUAACGGCUCACCUAGGCGACGAUCCUUAGCUGGUCUGAGAGGAUUAUCAGCCACACUGGGACUGAGACACGGCCCAGACGCCUACGGGAGGCAGCAGUGGGGAAUCUUGCACAAUGGGCGCAAGCCUGAUGCAGCCAUGCCGCGUGUAUGAAGAAGGCUUUCGGGUUGUAAAGUACUGUCAGUAGGGAGGCGUUACCGAAAGAAGAAGCACCGGCUAACUCCGUGCCAGCAGCCGCGGUAAUAG